UGGUGACCUGAGGCUCCCUGGCUGUCACUCUGUCCCAGACCCUCCUGGCCCACGGGGCACAGGCUGAGUCCCAGUAAAGUCUGUGGGGUCCUGACCU
rfam:Canis lupus familiaris chromosome 1, whole genome shotgun sequence.